GGGGUUAAAGGCGUUACAAUUAGCCAUGGCUAGAAAUAACUCUUUUUUUUUUUUUUUUUUGCCACCAACUAUGACUUGCCUUAACUUCCCUGAAUGCUGUUACAUUGUAAACAUUUGUAAACUUUCAGUAAAGAGAAAUUUCCUGUUGCUACUCCCCCCCUCCCCCAAGCUGAGCUAAUGAGAAAUAAAAAUAACCCCCCUUGUGGCAUUCUAAGCUUUCAAACGGGGAAGCAGGGUAAGUCACUGCUAGGCAGUCACAGGAACUGUGCAAGCCAUCCCUAGGAACAUUGCUUUCUCCUUGCGUCAGUUUCCAUGGAGCCUGCGGGCAGUCAAGGCUGUGCUGGUGAAGGCUUUGGGGUCCAUAUCCAGGCAGGCUUCAUUCAGGCUUGGGAAGCUGGUCUGUGCUAAGCCGCGGUAGACAUCACAAUGGAAAUGUGAAACACGUAAAUGUGGAAGCUGUGCAUGGCACCAGGCUCAUAGCAGGCAUUCAAGAUGUUUUCUAGACUUAGUGAGUUCCAGUUUAUUAAGGAUCUCUGGGACACAGGAAGUAUGGAACCCGUUGGAUGUGAGAUGGCUACCUUCAUCUGCUUUUCCCACUGUCUGUGUUCUUGGCUCCCUGGAGGGUUUAGUUGGACCACGGAAACAUUCCAGAGGUGAAAGCUGAAGAAUCAGAAACAUGGUGCACAGAAGUCCCCAGAUGGCCUUGGUGACAUGGAAUUCCAUUUUUAUGAAAAAUAAACAUCAGUUCAAAGACCGGAAGAAUAAUUCACACUAACUUAGGAAUAUAAGAACACAUGUUCUUUGACAGGGUAUGUCUUGAGGUCACCCUAGAGCUCAGUGCCGGUUGUAGCUGGUGGUGCACAGGAUGGCCGUUGUGAAAUGCCGAUGAGUAACUCUAUGUCCUGAGCCAGAACAUUCCAUUUCAACGUCUGCUUAGCUGACAGGUACUGAAAGAAUCUCAGAGCUCCCUCUCUGACAACCACUGCUAACUUUUUUUUUCUGAACCAGAAAUCUGACUCAUGUGAAGCAAUUUUACUAUCACCUCUCCUUAACACUGAAGGACACAGAGAGUAAUGAUGAUGUGAGCACACAAAGUGUCUGGCUUGUCCUAGGUGUUGCAGAGGACAGGACAAUAGCAGGGAGCUGAGAGAUAAGCAAAACAUCUCCACACCUCGAAGGAUCUAGAACUGCAUGGAAACUCAGCCUCUCCCUCCUUGGUAUUUAAAAACUGAAUG
rnacentral:lncRNA from 1 species